AAAGUUGACGGCGGAUACCUAGGGACUCAGAGAUGAUGAAGGGCGUGGACACCCGCGAUAGGCUUGGGGGAGCUGGAAACAAGCUUAGAUCCCAAGAUUCCCGAAUAGGGCAACCUAUAAAACUCCCUAUUGAAUUAAUAGAUAGGCAAGAAGGAACCCAGCGAAUUGAAACAUCUUAGUAGCUGGAGGAAAAAAAAGCAAAAGCGAUUCCCUUAGUAGCGGCGAGCGAAAUGGGAACAGCCUAAACCAAAAAAUAAUUUCAUUAUAAUUUGGGGUUGUUGGGAAAGAAUUUAAGAGCUAAAUAAAAAACACGAAGCAGCUGAAUCCUGCACCAUAGAUGGUGAAAGUCCAGUAGUUCAAUCAGCUAAAUCUUAAUCUUCUCCGAGUAGCAUGGGGCACGUGAAAUCCCGUGUGAAUCUGCGAGGACCACCUCGUAAGGCUAAAUACUCCUGAGUCACCGAUAGUGAAGUAGUACCGCGAGGGAAAGGUGAAAAAGAACCCCUGUAGGGGAGUGAAAAAGAACAUGAAACCGUCAACUGACAAGCAGUGGGAGGGUCCAUUUUAAAGGCCUGACCGCGUACCUGUUGAAGAAUGAACCGGCGACUUAUAGGAAGUGGCAAGGUUAAAGGUCUAAGGCCUGAAGCCCGAGCGAAAGCAAGUCUGAAAUAAGGCCAAAAAGUCACUUUUUAUAGACCCGAACCUGAGUGAUCUAACCAUGACCAGGAUGAAGCUUGGGUAAAACCAAGUGGAGGUCCGAACCGACUGAUGUUGAAAAAUCAGCGGAUGAGUUGUGGUUAGGGGUGAAAUGCCAAUCGAACUCAGAGCUAGCUGGAUCUCCUCGAAAUGCGUUGAGGCGCAGCGGUUGUCGAUGGGCUUUUAAGGGGUAAAGCACUGUUUCGAUGCGGGCUGUGAAAGCGGUACCAAAUCGUUGCAAACUAAGAAUACUUGAGAUGCUUUCCGACAACCAGUGAGACGGUGGGGGAUAAGCUUCAUCGUCGAGAGGGAAACAGCCCAGAUCAUCAGCUAAGGCCCCUAAAUAACGGCUAAGUGGGAAAGGAGGUGAAAAUGCUCAGACAACCAGGAGGUUUGCUUAGAAGCAGCCACCCUUUAAAGAGUGCGUAAUAGCUCACUGGUUAAGCGUUUUUGCGCCGAAAAUGCCCGGGACUAAGUCGUUUGCCGAAGCUAUGGGAUCUCUCUAAUUUGAGGGAUCGGUAGAGGAGCGUUCCGCUUUAGGGUGAAGCGUCAUCGUAAGAAGACGUGGACGAAGCGGAAGUGAGAAUGUCGGUUUGAGUAACGAAAACAUCGGUGAGAAUCCUUUGCCCCGAAAACCUAAGGGUUCCUUCACAAGGUUCGUCCAUGGAGGGUUAGUCAGGACCUAAGGCAAGACCGAAAGGUGUAGUCGAUGGCAAACAGGUCAACAUUCCUGUACUUAUUUUUAUGAUGUCCCGAGGGACGAAGAAGGCUAAUGAGAACCAUUCUAUUGGAUCGUGGUUAAAGUUGAAUUGAUACUGUGAAGGAAGAAGAAAAACUUCCUUUAUUAAUAUCUAAAAUCUCUGUUAAAGAGGCAACCUUUGAGGUCAAGCUUCCUAGAAAAGCUCGAACGACAUAUUCAUAAAAACAACCUGUACCCGAAACUGACACAAGUAGGUAGGUAGAGAAUACCAAGGGGAGCGAGAGAACUCUCUCUAAGGAACUCGGCAAAAUGGCCCCGUAACUUCGGGAGAAGGGGCGCCUCCAAUUUGAGGCCGCAGUGACCAGGCCCAGGCGACUGUUUACCAAAAACACAGGUCUCCGCUAAGUCGUAAGACAAUGUAUGGGGGCUGACGCCUGCCCAGUGCCGGAAGGUGAAGGAAGCUGGUUAUUCUUUUUGAAAAAGCUGGUGACCGAAGCCCCGGUGAACGGCGGCCGUAACUAUAACGGUCCUAAGGUAGCGAAAUUCCUUGUCAGGUAAGUUCUGACCUGCACGAAAGGCGUAACGAUCUGGGCGCUGUCUCGGAGAGAGACUCGGUGAAAUAGACAUAUUCGUGAAGAUGCGAAUUAAUCAUACUUGGACAGAAAGACCCUAUGAAGCUUGACUGUAUCUUGAAAUUGGGUUUGGGCUUUUCUUGCGCAGUCUAGGUGGGAGGCGUUGAAAGUUUCUUUCCGGAGAAAUUUGAGCCAUCAGUGAGAGACCACUCUGGAAGAGCUAGAAUUCUAAUGGCGAUCCUUGAAUCAGGACGCUUGACAGUUUCAGGGGGGCAGUUUGACUGGGGCGGUCGCCUCAUAAAAGGUAACUGAGGCGCACAAAGGUUCCCUCAGAAUGGAUGGAAAUCAUUCCAAGAGUGUAAAGGUAUAAGGGAGCUUGACUGAAAGACCUACAAGUCGAACAGGGGCGAAAGCCGGUCUUAGUGAUCCGACGGUGCCGCGUGGAAGGGCCGUCGCUCAACGGAUAAAAGUUACUCUAGGGAUAACAGGCUGAUCUUCCCCAAGAGUUCACAUCGACGGGAAGGUUUGGCACCUCGAUGUCGAUUUCUCGCAACCUGGGGCGGUAGUACGUCCCAAGGGUUGGGCUGUUCGCCCAUGAAAGCGGGACGCGAGUUGGGUUCAGAACGUCGUGAGACAGUUCGGUCCAUAUCCGGUG
rnacentral:rRNA from 1 species